UUGAGCUAAUAUUGUAAAAUAGCUCAAACAGUAGAAAUGUUGAGGUGCCGGUACUCCGCGCAGGUGAGCUCAUCCCCAAGUCAAAAACUGCAUUUAUUCAAGUGAAACUUUACAAAUCCAGACAAGCAAGAAGAUAACAUCAAUCGGUGAACGUGUCUUAUUCCCAAGGCUCUUCUCCAGAAAGCGCUGGUGUCGGGAAAGCAGAUUUGAUCAAUUCAGCACCACAGGAGUGGACAGCGGCGCUAUACACCGACGGGCAAACACAAAGCCAUGGAUGCAGUAUUUGUAGUGGAGAGCAGGAGAGUCAUUCGCGGUUUCAACCAGAAUGGGACAUAGAAUUGAUUAUUGAAUUAAGUCAACUGACGAUGGCUGGGCCCACCCUCAAUUCAAUGACUUCACAGGAAUACAUCACUCGCCGCCAUGAGAUCACCCUAAAAUCACAAUUAUCAAAAACAACUGUUUAUCGACAUAUCCUAUGAAACGUGUUCGAUAUCCACAUGUUCGCGCCAUUCAGGGGGUGUGGCGUGGCGUGAACUCGCUCUCAGGCACGCUGGUGUGUGUGUGUGUUGCGUGUGGGUGAGUAGUAAGGGGAGCGAGCGUUGCAUAGAGAAAUCGCACUCAACGCUCGCGCAGGCAGAGAGUGGGAAUAUAGUGCGCGGUGGCAUGGCUUCCUCUCACGGGAAAAGCGAACCCAGGUUCGCCGACUGGAUGGCAAAUUUACCGGAGAGCAUGCACAGCAUCCCUCUCACCAACCUGGCCAUUCCGGGUUCACAUGAUUCGUUCAGUUUCUACAUAGAUGAGUCCUCUCCGGUUGGUCCUGAGCAGACUGAUGCCGUCCAGAACUUUGUGUCCGUCUUCGGGACGGUGGCCAAGAAGCUGAUGCGCAAAUGGCUCGCCACUCAGACCAUGAACUUCUCCAGCCAGCUGGAGGCCGGCGUCCGCUUCUUUGACCUGCGCAUCUCCACCAAGCCCCGAGACCCAGACAACGAACUCUUCUUCGCUCACGGUCUCUUCAGCGCCACGGUGAGAGAAGGCCUGGAGCAGAUCAGCUCCUUCCUGUCGGCCCAUGCCAGAGAGGUGGUGUUCCUGGACUUUAACCACUUCUACGGGGUUCAGAACCUGCACCAUGAGAAGCUGGUCUCAAUGCUGAGGGAUGUGUUCGGGGAGAAACUCUGCCCUGUCGUCUUCGCUCAGGAGGUGAGUCUCCAGUACCUGUGGGAGAAUGAGUACCAAGUAUUGGUGUUCUAUCAUAGUCCUAUGGCCCUGGAGGUGCCCUUCCUGUGGCCGGGUCAGAUGAUGCCUGCUCCCUGGGCCAACACCACUGACCCUGACAAGCUGAUCCAGUUCCUGCAGGCCUCUGUGGCUGACCGCAGGAGGAAGGGAACAUUCUUUGUCUCCCAAGUGGUCCUGACACCUAAGGCCAGCACUGUCAUGAAAGGAGUGGCUAGCGGACUGAGGGAGACCAUUACAGAAAGGUGAGUCUGUGGUGUGUGUGAUUGCAGGAGGAAGGGAACAUUCUUUGUCUCCCAAGUGGUCCUGACACCUAAGGCCAGCACUGUCAUGAAAGGAGUGGCUAGCGGACUGAGGGAGACCAUUACAGAAAGGGCUCUUCCAAGUAUGAUGUUGUGGAUCCGGGCCCAGAGGCCGGGAGAGAGCGGCAUCAACAUCAUCACAGCUGACUUCGUAGAGCUGGGAGACUUCGUCAGUGCUGUCAUCACUCUCAACUACCAUAUGGAAGACGAGGAAGAAAACGCCACCUGAGAGUGACCGACAGGGUGGUUUAGAGUUCAAUCCUCAGCCAUGUGGGGCUACGCUCGCUCUCUCGCUCUUUCUCUUUGGUGUUCAUUUUUAGGAAGAGAGGCGGUCCUCUGACUCUUCUAGGGCUACAAUAGUUGACAGAGAGAGGGCGGGAGGGAGGGCGCGAGC